AAAGUGAAAAUGCUUUGUCGCACUCGCAGAACUGUAAUCUCAUUUGACCCCUUUGUGCUCAUAAAUUUUUGAUCGGUGGAGGAAGGACUAUACGGUUAGGAUGAUGAUAGUUUCUUAGGGCUGAGUCGGUGAUUGGUUGAAUAGUAUGAUAUAACGGAUAAAAAGGUCAAAAAGGUAAAUCUAACGGCGAAAAUUUGUGAGUAUAAAAUAGUCUAUACUUAUAAGAAUAUAGUAGCCGGACUCAUAUCAUUAACUGAAACAUAUAAUAAUAUAAUGAAUAUAAAUAGAAGAAAAACUUAUGUAAGUAGCUCGAAAACCACGUCCUAUCUAUCGGGAAUUCUCGAUUUAGCUGUUAUUUGUAUUUUGCUUCUAUUCAAGAGUUGUAAUUAUUUUUUCUCUAAGAUUUUAAAUUUUUUGGUGGGUUUUUUAGUAUUAAAUAUACAUCCGUCAAAUUUUUGGAUAGAGACAAAACUAAUACGUGGCACUAGAUCGAGACUUCUUGACGAGUUGUUGAGGAGCUCCCCGUUAAAGUUUAAU
rnacentral:lncRNA from 1 species